AGAACAGCUGAAAGGCUGUUUCAUCUUUGUAAUGACUUUUGGUUACAGCAUGGAAAUCACUGGAUUGAGCCAAGUAGUCCAUUCAUAGAAUCCAAAUGCCGAUCCCAAGUCUGUCACAUAUCCCAGCUGCAUGUUAAAGAAAAAGGACCCUGAUUGCCUCUCUAAGUUUACAGUGAUGCUGUGGAGCAUGGCGAUGGGGAGGAAUUCACCCAGUUUCCAGUGUCCGGCAUGACAGCGACUGUGUGUCUGGAGACCCCACUGAGUUGUGUAAUGAAGCUGGCUUCACACACCUGAUCAGAUCUCUCCAAGCCCCGAGGCGUGCUAGAGAUCCCCUGCAUGUCCCCGUCCCUUAAAGCAGUGACAUAUAUCCUCCCUUUAAGACAAGAAUACUAUUACAAAGCCCAGAAUAUAAAUUACGCUUUCAUCUCUGC
rnacentral:lncRNA from 11 species